GCCCUAGUAGCUCAGCGCCCGAGAGCGCCGGUCUUGUAAGCCGGAUGUCGAGGGCUAAACUCCCUCCUAGUGCU
rnacentral:tRNA from 1 species